CGCGACCCCAGGUCAGGCGGGAUCACCCGCUGAGUUUAAGCAUAU
rnacentral:rRNA from 1 species